UGGCUCUGUCCGUGGUGGUGUUUGCUUUAGCAGAGAGGCUACGGCUGUCGCCCGUCUCCCAUCUUCAAGAUGGCGGAGGCAGCUUCAGCCUCAGCUCUCGCGAGGAGUACGCUCGCCGCCUCUGAUUAGCCGAAGUUUGGCAAAGAUCGGCCUUAGUUCCGGGUGGCCGCGGAGGUGUAACUGUACAAAUCUGUGAUCCACGUUCAGAACCCAUGUGACGGCCUAUUAGACGAGGAGGACAGACCCACACUCCGUUUCUUCUCAGUUGAGAAAGCAGAAGCACUUCUGAACGUGGUUACUUUCGUGUCGUGUCUGCGCUGAAAAUUGCUAGCUGCUGCAGCGAUUUUUUUUUCAUGCUGGAGAGAAGUUUUACAUCCUUGACCCUCUAGUUUUGAGUCUGGAGUGCGUUCUCCAUUAUAGACUUCUGUACACUUAAAUAUUCCCUUAGGCAUCCAUUUAUGCCUCCCAUCUCUACAGUGCUUUUUCUUCAGCCUACGUGCCAUAAUUUCCUAGCUCUUUAACAUACAUGGGUUUGCCUUCUGAGUAACCAUGUAUUUGGAUUAAUGUAUUCAACGAUGGCUUAAAUCUGAAACCCCAAUAUCACUGAGUUUAGAAAAAAAAAAAAAAAAAGACAACUCAGCGGUUAGGAGCAUUUGUUGCUCUUGCAGAGGUCCCAGGUUGGAUUCCCAGCACCCACACGGUAGUUCGCAGUCAUCUAUUACUCUCCGGGCAUUUGGGCAGCAGGCAGGAAUGUUGAAGGUCAGAGAACAACUUGUAGGAAUGGGUUCUCUUCUUCCACCCUUGAAGACCAAUGGGUGGAAUCAAAUUCAGGUCAGCAGGCUUGGUGCCAAGAAUUUUUACCAGCUGAGCCGUCUGGCCUGCUCCUAGGUGUUGGAGUGAUGUUUUUGUGCGCUGUGUAAAGAUUACCCUUGUAAUUCAAAUGCUGAUUUGUGCCCAUAGAGAUCUGAUUACAGGCUGGACUCUGGUAUUGUCAUUAUUAUGAAGCAUCUCCAGCUUCAUUCUUUCGUAAACAUUGUUUUUCCCAUCACCUUCUGAUUGGUUAAAUAAAGGGCGGAAUGGCCAAUAGCUGGGCUGAAGGACAGGAUUUUAGGAGGCAAGCAGGGAGGCAUUAUUCCCCAGCCAGACGCAGAGAAAGAAAAAGCAAGCACUAAAGGACUGAGAAUGAAAGGUGACAGGUCAUGUGGUGGGACAUAGGCCAGGCCAGUAUUGCUUUAGAACAGCUGAGAAUCUGCUCAGCCAUCAUGCCAUAAGUUAUUCCCCGCCUUUCUCUUAGGUUAAUCUCAUAGAAUAAAAAGUAUAUCUCUUGGUUAUUUAUCUCUUGGAUAAAUAGUCCCUCAUCACCAUUCUUAUUCCGACUCAACAACUUCCUGUCAGCCCUAGUCCCGAGCUUUCUCCCUGUCCCCCAUAGAAAUGUUGCCAGUUCCUUAUAAAGUUUAUAGACUUCAGAGGAUGCCCCUGUCCUGAAUACAAUCCAAAUUACUUAUGGUGGCCUAUAUAACCCAAGGAACAGGUACAUCUGUGUUUUCACUCUCUUCUUCUGCUGGUCCGUAAGUCUUCUGUAACUGCUAGAUAAGCUAUUUUCCUUGGCCUGUGAUGCCCAUCCCCCAGCCUUCCCAUCAUUAAGAUGUAUCUUCUGUGUUACAUUCGGAAAAGCUUUCCUUACCUUCUCCAGCUAAGGCAUUUACUUUUUUGUUCCUGUGAAAUUCUGUGCUUACCUCUGUAAUUACAUGCUCUAAUGCCUGUGUCUCAUCUGAACGGGGCCACUGUUGAGGGCAGCACCUCACCAGACCCAGUAGCCCCAGCAGCUUUGUAUGCUGCAAAUUAUUUGGGAAAUUCUGAAUUAAAUGGGCCUAGAAACUAUACCUCAAUUGGUUUCAAAGCAGUCGCUCUAUACUAGAGAUACCAGAAUAGUGGUUUGUUCACAUUUUUGAAUGUAUUAAACCUAGGUUCUCCACUGUAAAAAUAAAAAUCAAGAUAUGAUUACAGAUUAGACCCCAAAAAUAAUUUACCUUAAACUCUUCAACUGUAACUAAUAAAAAUAAACUCUUUACACACCAACUAAUGUGAUAAAUAUUUAUUGGAAAUCUGUUAUGCACUUCUAAGGGGUUAGGCUAGAUUAGUGAUGAUGGGUAGCAUAUUAGUCUGCUGAACUACUUAUUUUAUGUAGCUAAUAUUCCACAGUGAGAACGGGAGGCACACAGAAAUGUGGAAUGUGCUGUGAGGAGGUUGCAGCUUUUAAAAAUGAGGACAGGACUGGCCUACUAAAAGUGACUACUGAACAAAGUCUUAACAAUGAGGACAUCUUCUGAACACUGUAGCAUAAGGCAUGGUGAAGGAGACCUGAGGCUCAAUGCUGCUGGCCUGUGGAAGGAAAAGCAGAAGUGUGUGUCCAGCUGCUGAGUGAAGGAGCCUGGGGAACAAACAGGAGAUGAGAUCAGAGAGGAAGUUAGAUGGUAAGAGCCUAGAGAGUUUUGUAGGCUGCUGUAAGCUAUUUUCCUCUAAGAUAGAGAAUAGGCUUUCCUUACCUACCAUGUCGAGGUUAUUUUACUACUGAGCAACAUCCUGUCUCCACAGCCAGCUUUUAAGCAGAAGGGUAAUGCAGUUUUCAACAUUCUUUGCAGUUCAAGCUUGGUAGCAUACUCUUGUAAUUCCAGCCUUCACAAAGGAAAAGCAAGAAUUGUGCUGUGAGUGUGAGGGCAACCUGGUCUUAAUGACUUCCAGCCAACCAAGGGGUACAUGGUCAAACCCUAUCUAAAAAAAAUAAACUUUGCUGUGUUGAGAUGGGAGUAGGGAUGUGAAAUAUAAAGUGGGUGAUUUAGGAAGUGAUUGUCUCCUUCAUUUGUUAAUUUUUAUAUAUUGUGCACCAGCAUGGGUUAGCAUGUUAUGUGUGAAAAGUGUUAGGCAUAUUAGUGUACCACCCAUCUUCAUAGAGCUUAUAUUCUACAGAGGGGGAGGUGGAAUAAAAAUAUAAAUUAUACUAAGGUGCCUGAAUAAGGAAGAGUAAAAGUCUCCACUUGCUUUAAUUAGAGCAGGUAUUCCAUGGAAGGAAUGAACAUGAAUUGGAAAUCAGAGGAUGGAAUGAAGGAAGGUGAGGAGGAGCUUUCCAGGUACUGGGGAUAUGUGUUAAGGCACCAACUUGUGUUUAAAAGUACAGCCAAUAGAAGAGGUCCAGACCUUGGUGGUGGAGUCCAGUGAGAAGGGCAUGAAGUAAAGACUGAAGAGUUCGAGUCUAGUGUUAGUAAGGAUGAAGUUUAGUGGGAAACCACUGGGCCAUUUUAGGCACCAAUCAAUACUUUUUAAAAGGUAAUUCUACCUGUUUUAAGAGCUGCAGAAGAGCAACAGUUCAAAAACAAACCAAUUAGGAGGCUGUAGCUAGUGAGCACAACAAGAGGUGGUAGCUGGGAUGAAGGUGGUGGCAGAGAAGCUAGGUGUAAGAUUCAGGAUCUAUGUAUGCAGUGCAAGCGGGCCAGCUUAGUGAGAGGUGGCUAUGAGAAUCGGGUGGGGUUUGAGCAUAGUUUCUGAAUCAAGCAACUUGCUUGAACAUUAGAUGUAUAUAUGUAAUGCAAAAGCAAAAGAACUACUCAUAACAAAAUAGACUUAGGAGGGUAGGAGCACCUUAAACAGGGCUCAGUUUAUAUAACUGAGGAUGUCAGAAGAGAAAGUUAAAAAGUGGUGUUAAAGUAAGCAAUAAAGGGCCAUUAAGGAAACAUUUGUGGUCCAAAGACUAGCACCCCUGGCCGGGGUGAAGACCUAACCAGUUAGUUGGACCAGAUCAGUCACCUGGCUAUGUGCCUACCCCUAUCAGGUUCACCUUAAGAUAUGAUAAAGAGAGGUAGAAUGAGAUACUAUAUACGUCCCAGAAUCCCUGCCCCUGCUGCUGUAGAGUUUUUGCAUGUAGCCAUUCAACUUUGUAAGUCUGCCUACUUUACUGUUUUCUUUUCUAAGCAUGUUUUCCUUAAUACUUGGGAUUUCCCCAACAUUUGGGGCUUCCUUACUUCCUCUAAAGCCUUCCUCCCCAAGUAUCUUGCUUGACCAUAAUGUGUUUUACUUCUAUGCCAGCUUAAAUGGCACAGUUAUCUUACAGCUUACCUGCCCUAGAUUUGUUUUUUCUUUUAACCUCUAAUAAAAUUUUCCUUGACAUCUGGAUGCCAAAUUGCACCUGCCAAAGUAAUUAUUUGGAUCUUAAUAUAAUUGAUGCUUUAUUGUUCUCUCGAAAUCUGAUUUGUCAAUAAACAUUACUGCUUCUUUGCUACUUUAAAAAAAAAUUUUUUUUCCUUGAACUUCAUUUCAGUAAAUUCUUUAAUAACCCCCAAGAGGGGACUUUAACUUUCCAUUCCUACUGGUUCUAUGCUUGAGACUGCAAACCACUAAGGAAAUGUGCAAGGAUCAUUUUAGAGUGGCUCUUACUAGUCAAGCUGUUAUAUGUGUUAUAUGGCUGGAUUUUCCUCUCAUACAUGCUCUUGUCCAUCUUUACUGUUCAUAACUUGGAAUUGAAAUAUAUACUUUUAUUUUCCUGGACAUAAUCCUUAAUUGCCCCUACUUCAAAAUGGUAUGUUUAUGGAUAUGACUAAUUGCAUAUAAUUUUAAAAAUCAGUCUGUUGAACUAAACACAUUAUGGUUUUCUUUAUAAAAAUAUUUUCUAGCUAACAUUUUCACUAUGUGAUCGAAAAUUUAUUAGCUGAAUAGAAAAAUAACUUUUGCCUUUUUAAACAUAACAUUUUUAUUGAUUCUCUGGGAAUUUCACAUCAUGCACGCUAAUCAUACUUCCAAGUCAAAAACAAUGUGGCCCCUGGUGGCAGCAUAAACCACAGAAAUCAGCGUGGCUUCAGGCUUGGAGCACAGACCAUGGACAAACAAAUAUUCUUCAGUGGCAACACAGGCCAUGGACAUCAACACAGAUCCAGGCUUCAGUUGGACCAUGAACCUAGACAUGGCCCUUGGGGACAGCAUGCCUUAACAUCACCAUGGCCUCAGGUCGCAGCACAAGCCACCCAGUAUGGCCCCCGGAGGAUGCACGGUCUCUGGACAUCCACGUGGCUUCAGGCUGCAGCACAGACCACAGACAUUUUUUUUUUUUUUUUUUUUUUGAGACACCUCACUUGGUAACCCUGCCUGGUCUAGAACUCAUAGACCAGGCAAGCCCUGAACUCAAGAGAGAUCCACCUCUUGCCUCCCAAUUAAAGGCCUGCAUCAUCGCAUCCAGGUCCUAACAUUUUGAAAGGGUUGGUGAAAACAAACCAAUUAUACAUUAACAGUUCAAUCAAUAAAUGUGGCAUAGUUCACAAUCAAUAGCAAACAAAAUAAUGAAUUUAUGGGCUGGCUAUGUAGCUCAGUUGGUACAUGCACUUAACUGGGCAUGGUGACACACUGGUAAUCCUAGCACUCAGGAGGUAGAGACAGGAGGAUCAAAAGUUCAUGGUCAUCUUGUCUCUACCAGCCUGAAUUAUGAGGCCCUCAAAUAAAAAUACCAGUACUCACAAUGAGUGAUUCCUAUAUAGCCUACAUAUAUAAUGUUGAAGAAGUCAGACAAAAAGAAAAUAGUAUACAUGUUUCAAAAUAUGUAGAAGAAACUAUAGUCAGGAGUGGUUACUUCAGGAGUUGUGAUACAAUUAACAGGGUGGUGGCCAGAAUGCUUACAACUCAAUGAUGCUGCUAAAUGGCUAGAUAUUCACAAGCUUAAUAAAACAGGAGCUGGACACUGUCCUAGUAAUAUACUGACUGCAAACCAAAGGUACUAUAAGAUCAAUCACUGUCCAGAAGAAUGGGACCUGAGCCUUCUCUUUGUCCCUGGGAGUCGAUGUGGCAUGCUGGUCUGCCUGUAAGGUUAUUAGUAUGUAAUUAAAUGAGGCUUACAUCUUCAAUAAUGGCUGCGAACUAGCUGGCUUUUUGAUUGAGUAAUAAGAUGUAACACUGCUCUUGGUAAAAGUCAAACCAGACAGUCCUGUCAACCACCUAGACAAGACAAAGACCUCCAGAAAACUGUUUUGUUUUAGAAAUAGAAUAAAUCUUACCUAAAAUAUAGUAGAUCAGUACAAUGGUCCCUCUGACCAUUGACCACUGUCAUCUUCUUGAGACUGUUUCUACUCUGUAACAAAGUACUAUACCCUUCAAUAAAGAACCUGUCUUUAAUCUA